GUGCCAGCAGCCGCGGUAAUACGGAGGAUCCAAGCGUUAUCCGGAAUCAUUGGGUUUAAAGGGUCCGUAGGCGGGCUUGUAAGUCAGUGGUGAAAGUCUGUGGCUCAACCAUAGAAUUGCCAUUGAUACUGCUAGUCUUGAAUUAUUGUGAAGUGGUUAGAAUAUGUAGUGUAGCGGUGAAAUGCUUAGAUAUUACAUGGAAUACCAAUUGCGAAGGCAGAUCACUAACAAUAUAUUGACGCUGAGGGACGAAAGCGUGGGUAGCGAACAGGAUUAGAUACCCGAGUAGUCC
rnacentral:rRNA from 1 species